rnacentral:rRNA from 1 species
UGGGGAAUAUUGCACAAUGGGCGCAAGCCUGAUGCAGCCAUGCCGCGUGUGUGAAGAAGGCCUUCGGGUUGUAAAGCACUUUCAGCGGGGAGGAAGGCGAUAAGGUCAAUAACCUUGUCGAUUGACGUUACCCGCAGAAGAAGCACCGGCUAACUCCGUGCCAGCAGCCGCGGUAAUACGGAGGGUGCAAGCGUUAAUCGGAAUUACUGGGCGUAAAGCGCACGCAGGCGGUCUGUCAAGUCGGAUGUGAAAUCCCCGGGCUCAACCUGGGAACUGCAUUCGAAACUGGCAGGCUAGAGUCUUGUAGAGGGGGGUAGAAUUCCAGGUGUAGCGGUGAAAUGCGUAGAGAUCUGGAGGAAUACCGGUGGCGAAGGCGGCCCCCUGGACAAAGACUGACGCUCAGGUGCGAAAGCGUGGGGAGCAAACAGG